UGUAGACAUCAACCGCACAAUUACGGGUUAAAGCGACAUGUGUCCACCUGUAAAUGGCGUGUCUUAUUAAAUCA
rfam:Salinicoccus halodurans strain H3B36, complete genome.